UGUUUGCAGCUCUUGAUAUACAGGAACUAGAACGUGUCUUUUAAGAGCAUGCGGUUUUAUAAUUACGUGGAAGUAUGCUACGCAAGGGAAAAAAGCCUCUUGCUAGUGUUAAGGGUCUUCAUAAACAGAAACCGCAAGGAACCUGGGAUCUGACAGCUGUUGGAGGAAUGCCUGUGAGGAAGGAGGAGGAACAGAAGAAUGCUUUGAUGUCUUAAAUGGUACAUCCAAACUUAAGUGAAAUAGAGCUGUGAGGACAUUUUGGGGAGAAGUGACCUAGAUAAGCACUGACUGUUGCAUUCAUCUCUCUUCUUGCUGAUUGUGAUGAUUUCCUGUGCCAUAGCCAUUCAAAGUCUGCCAAAAAAGGACCACCAGCUGCGAGAAGGAGCUACCUACUUUGGGUUUCCUUGACUCAUCAGGACCAACUGCCUGUGGAAAGGUGCUAGAAGCUACGGACUAGAGGUCUCCUCUCUGCUGAGAGCUGGACACUCUUUGGGACAACCUGCCUGUGGAAAGGAGCUACCCACUUCAGGUCUCCUGAGAGCUGUUCUGUUCCUCAAUGAAGCUCCUGUCUGCCUUGCUCACCCUCCGGUUGUCUGCAGAACUUAUUCUUCCUGGAUGUGGGAC
rnacentral:lncRNA from 1 species